GUUGCCUGCUUGCAGGUUGCCUUACAAGUCUGUUGGUUUCAGUGCGUAAAUACCUGCUGCAAGCCGCAUGAAGACUAGGGGUGAUCGCUACAGUGAUGGGGUCAAAUAAGAUGGGAAUAGUCAGUCCAAUUCCCCCUCCGAGGUAGAGAGUGUGAGUGUUUGUGGAUGUGAAGCUGGAGACUGACCUCUACAGCUCAUCAGGUUUUCUAUUGGCCAUGAGGAGGCUGUUUUCUCUGUGUUUGGGUUUGGGUUCUGCCUGACAAGUGCCAAACGGACAAGAAGUUGAUUAGAGUUUUUCAAAGCUUCCCUGUUUUUCUGAAAGAAAAGAGGAAUACAAAUCUAUUGAGCUGUUUGAAAUAUUGCUGCGAGUAAGCACUCUUGGCUUGGGAUAAAUAACGAAUAAAACACCAUUUGGAUUGUCUGUCCGCUGCAAACUCGCCAUGGACUCACCAGCAUCCCCCCUGAGUCUGGGAAGAGAUACAACACUGUAGUUUCUGGAGAAUUCUCACUGCAAAAAGUGCAGUAACCAUUUUAAAGCUUUUGUAAAUAUAAUAAUGUAGAUAUAUAUA